rnacentral:rRNA from 1 species
AUUGAACGCUGGCGGCAGGCCUAACACAUGCAAGUCGAACGAGUGGCGGACGGGUGAGUAAUGUCUGGGAAACUGCCCGAUGGAGGGGGAUAACUACUGGAAACGGUAGCUAAUACCGCAUACCAUCAGAUGUGCCCAGAUGGGCUUAGCUAGUAGGUGGGGUAAAGGCUCACCAAGGCGACGAUCCCUAGCUGGUCUGAGAGGAUGACCAGCAACACGGGAACUGAGACACGGGCCAGACUCCUACGGGAGGCAGGAGUGGGGAAUAUUGCACAAUGGGCGCAAGCCUGAUGCAGCCAUGCCGCGUGGGUGAAGAAGGCCUUCGGGUUGUAAAGCACUUUCAGCGGGGAGGCGUUACCCGCAGAAGAAGCACCGGCUAACUCCGUGCCAGCAGCCGCGGUAAUUC